ACGGAGGAAAAGAAACCAACUGGGAUUACCUUAGUAACGGCGAGUGAAGCGGUAAAAGCUCAAAUUUGAAAUCUGGUACUUUCAGUGCCCGAGUUGUAAUUUGUAGAAUUUGUCUUUGAUUAGGUCCUUGUCUAUGUUCCUUGGAACAGGACGUCAUAGAGGGUGAGAAUCCCGUUUGGCGAGGAUACCUUUUCUCUGUAAGACUUUUUCGAAGAGUCGAGUUGUUUGGGAAUGCAGCUCAAAGUGGGUGGUAAAUUCCAUCUAAAGCUAAAUAUUGGCGAGAGACCGAUAGCGAACAAGUACAGUGAUGGAAAGAUGAAAAGAACUUUGAAAAGAGAGUGAAAAAGUACGUGAAAUUGUUGAAAGGGAAGGGCAUUUGAUCAGACAUGGUGUUUUUUGCAUGCACUCGCCUCUCGUGGGCUUGGGCCUCUCAAAAAUUUCACUGGGCCAACAUCAAUUCUGGCAGCAGGAUAAAUCAUUAAGAAUGUAGCUACUUCGGUAGUGUUAUAGCUUUUUGGAAUACUGUUAGCCGGGAUUGAGGACUGCGCUUCGGCAAGGAUGUUGGCAUAAUGGUUAAAUGCCGCCCGUUU
rnacentral:rRNA from 1 species